UGAAUAAUUUGAUAUUUUGCUUUUGAUCUUUUCAGGUAAAACUCCAGCACAAGAAAAAUAAGGAAAGCAUAGAAUUCCCUUUUCUGCAACUAUUCACCAAUGUGGAAGGAUGCAUGGUGGCUGAACUUCCAGUUCUCACUGCCAACUGUGCUUUCUCAACAGUGAAAGAAUAUACUCUUUCCAUUACCACUGGCAAAACUUCAACGUCAAAUACCAACAUAGAUGUAUUUAUCACCUUGCGGGGAUCCUUAGGAGACACUGGAAGAAGGAAGCUAACCAGGAAAGGAGAGAAACUUUUCACCAAAGGAAAGGUGGAUACGUUCAGAAUUGAUGCAGUAGAUAUCGGUCUUUUGCAAGCAUUGGAUGUGGAGAAAGGGAAAGGCCCUGACUGGCAUCUGGAGAAGAUUACUGUGAGACAGGCAUCAAUGGAAGGAAAAGAAAUAGUGUUUCUAGCUCAUAAAUGGCUCAAAAGUGGAACAAACUCAGCAGUUACAUUGAACGUUACAGAAAUUGAGGAAAUUGGGCACAUGAAUGUCUUGCCACCAGGAGGCCAACAAAUGAAGUCAGAAGGCACAUGGAAAAUUUAUCUGAAGCUUCGAGGAAAAUCAGGUCAAGAAUGUGAACAUAUUGGGCCAAAUAUUCCUCAUUUGAUUAUGAUUCUGUAUGGGACUUACGGAAAGUCAAGCU
rnacentral:lncRNA from 1 species